UACGUAGGGUGCAAGCGUUAAUCGGAAUCACUGGGCGUAACGGGUGCGUAGGCGGGUCUUUAAGUCAGGGGUGAAAUCCUGGAGCUCAACUCCAGAACUGCCUUUGAUACUGAAGAUCUUGAGUUCGGGAGAGGUGAGUGGAACUGCGAGUGUAGAGGUGAAAUUCGUAGAUAUUCGCAAGAACACCAGUGGCGAAGGCGGCUCACUGGCCCGAUACUGACGCUGAGGCACGAAAGCGUGGGGAGCAAACAGG
rnacentral:rRNA from 1 species